UAAUAAUGAUGAUAAUGGGAGAGGGGGGUCGGGUGGGGACGAAACCUCCUACUUUGAGACAAAGAAAAUCUCUUCCAUUAAAACCUGCAUCACGAAUCCUUCUGCUCCAAGCUCUCAACCAUCUCUUUCAAACUGCCAGUUCCUGGGCUGAAAUAUUAUUUAUUCCUUUCCUUUCCAAUAAAACAAUUAUUUGUUCCACCAUUUCCCCCCUCGUUCACUCUCCGGUGUGUCUGGCUUCGUCCUGACAGCUCGGCCACGGACUGUUUACAUGUCUCGCUCACCCUCCAAGACUCUGGUUCAGCUCCAUUGACACUAAAGGCAGGCGAAUUCUCUCGGUGUGAGGAAUCAAUUACUUCCGCUGACACUCUAUUACUGGCCCUCACAUCUUUGGACUCCAGAUGGAGAGUGAAGGUGGUGGUGAGGAUGGCAGGGAAUUUGAAGAGGAUGACACAGAAAGAGAUCUCUCUCCUUGACUGCCCCGCUGGCAUCCGGAGGUGACUGCAUGGCAGGAAGAGGCAAAGAAAAGGAAUAAAAAGAGAAAAGGAAAAGAAAAGGCUUGUCAAGGAUAUCUAAAGAAAUCAGAGAGGCCCCAAAUACCUAAGCACUGGGACAGCAGAUGACAGCUCCAAGCAGAUUGACACAGAGGAGUCAAGCUAAGCCAAAGGAGAGUUGAACUCAAGGGCAAAACCCUUAAGGCCAAUCUCCAUGUACAGAGGGGAAAUUGACCCUGUUUGAGCUACUGAGCCCGCUGGCCCUCAUUGCAAAUGCAAUUUUGAUGCCAUUGAUGAGAGAUCUGGGAUUACAAUUCCUGACCAUUUUAGGAGACAUUUGGGGAAGGAAACAGAAGAAUAAUUUUGAGGUCUCUCCAAAAACCAAAGGAGAAAAAAAAAAGAAAUUCAGCCGGAGCCGCAGAAGCCGCAACGCAUAUGGGCAAGAUCCCCUAAAACUUGGUCUGGAAAGCUGAUUCCCGAAGGUUCCCCAACCCAGAUGAUUCCCAGAGGGGCGACAAGUCUAUUCCAAAUCCCUCCCCCACCUCCAAACACUAGGGCUACCGGCGCCCGCCACCCAGCCGCUGGACGCCUGCGACCCGGUGGGAAAGACCCCCGGCACAGCCAGCCCGAGUCGAAGGGCGGGGGCAGCCCUUCAAUCAGAGCGCGCCUUGCCUCCAUUAACUUGUGUUGAUAUUAAAAAGAAAUCAAUCAGUGAAAAUGAAGCA
rnacentral:lncRNA from 1 species